CACUGCCCUAAUUCCAGUAGCCUGGAUACAAUAUAAGGGACGCAGAGAGGUUUGCCUUGUCCCUUGUUGCUUUGUUACCUUUUGACUGCCAUGAACUGUUUUUCCUCUGUGAUGCCCUCUGCUAUGCCACCCUACCUUGGAGCCAGGUGAUUAUGGACUGAAACCUCUACAAACUUGAAACAGAAAACUAAUACCCACAAGAGACUGAUCCGAAUCCUCAGUUCUCCCUGGUUAGUAUGGCCGGGCAGACUCUUUUCCUCCGUUUGCCAUUCCCUUCCUGAAGCCUAGCACACACCAUGGGCAACAGAAGGGGCAUUUGGCAAUGUGACCAAACACAGAGGGAUGGACAAGCCCUUUUCAGGGUGUUAACACAGGAGGGAGGGCAGUCUUUUCCACGUGAAGGUGUGAUUGUGUUUACCCCACUGACAGGAUCUGAUGCACCUCUGGUUUUGUUCCAAGUGGAAGAGAGCUGAAUGGCUCACGGCCUGUGCCAGAGAGCUCUGUGAUCACUCUUCUCUGCAGGCCCGGACCUCAUAGACUGAACUAUGAACAGCCACUCAACUGGAAAACCUAAAUGCAAUGGGAGGAAUUGGACACCAGGCAGGGGCCAACUGGUGACACUUGACCACCAAAGACAAGUAUUAGAUAUCUUGUAGGCAGUUAGUGCCUUCUUUAAGGUGCCAGCCCUCCAGGAGCCAACACAGCAAGGAGCCAACAUGCAGGACAGUGAAGACACAUUCACUGAAGGCCAACAUUGUAAAAGGAGAGAAAUUAGCACACCC
rnacentral:lncRNA from 1 species